UUUUUUUUUCAGCAACCACACCUUUCAGUCAUGAAGGCGGAUGCGGACCACAGCGGCUAGAUGCAGACAAGCGAGGAACUGCGUCUCCAGAAGAAGCCUAUGACGAAGCAGAGUACGACUACAAUUUGGAUGUCACUACUGUUUCGCCGUCACCCUAGGCGAG
rnacentral:lncRNA from 1 species